rnacentral:misc_RNA from 1 species
UAUCGAACAGUUAGAAAGGGGAAGAUCGAAGGAGUGGAUGGAUGAUGCUUGGGGCAGUUGCUGGCGGAUUUGCAUCUGCAUCUGCAUGUGCACGUUCUGUCACUCUACUUUUUCUGUCGGCCCUUUUCGAUUUCAAUUCACACCUGUGCACCCAUCGUAGGUCUUCGAAAGAAGAUCUAUGUCUUUUAUAACACUGCUUUGUAUGGCCAUAGAAUGUAAAAAUCUAUUACAACUUUCAGCAACGGAUCUCUUGGUUCUCGCAUCGAUGAAGAACGCAGCGAAUUGCGAUAAGUAAUGUGAAUUGCAGAUUUCCAGUGAAUCAUCGAAUCUUUGAACGCACCUUGCGCUCCUUGGUAUUCCGAGGAGCAUGCCUGUUUGAGUGUCAUUAAAUUCUCAAGGAGUUUGUUCUCUUUGGAUUUUGGAGUGUUUGCUGGCUUGAAUCUUGUUCAGCUCCUCUCAAAUGCAUUAGCUUGUGCUUCUGUGGAAUCAGGCUUUGGUUUGAUAGUAUCUAUGUCAUUGCCUUUGAAACAAAUGAGCUAGCUUCUAAUCAUUUUAUUUUUGACAUUUUG